GGGUGAACUCCACGUAGUCGAAGGCGGUGGGGAGUUCGCGGCCCUUGCCAUCCACGUAGGGCUUCAUGUGGGAGACGCAGUAGUCGGCUUGUUCCCGAGUCAGGUUCUGGAGGGGAAGAGACCACACCUGUCAACUCACAGUCACGCCAUGUCCCCCAGAGAAAAGCAACACCCCCAGGACCCAGGGGCAG